rnacentral:rRNA from 1 species
AACGAACGCUGGCGGCGUGGAUAAGACAUGCAAGUCGAACGGGAUUACUUCUGGUAGCAAUACCGGAAGUAAUUUAGUGGCGAACGGGUGCGUAACACGUGGGGAAUCUGCCGAGAAGUGGGGGAUAGCUCGUCGAAAGGCGAAUUAAUACCGCAUAUGAUCAGCCAAGACAUCUUGGCGACAUCAAAGCCGGGGCAACCUGGCGCUUCUUGAUGACCCCGCGGCCUANCAGCUAGUUGGUGAGGUAACGGCCCACCAAGGCUAUGACGGGUAGCUGGUCUGAGAGGACGACCAGUCACACUGGAACUGAGACACGGUCCAGACACCUACGGGUGGCAGCAGUCGAGUAAUUUUUCUCAAUCGGGGAAACCCUGAAGGAGCGACGCCGCGUGGAGGAU